rnacentral:rRNA from 1 species
GAAUUCACUAGUGAUUCAGGCCUAACACAUGCAAGUCGAGCGGUAGAGAGAAGCUUGCUUCUCUUGAGAGCGGCGGACGGGUGAGUAAUGCCUAGGAAUCUGCCUGGUAGUGGGGGAUAACGUCCGGAAACGGACGCUAAUACCGCAUACGUCCUACGGGGGAAAGCAGGGGACCUUCGGGCCUUGCGCUAUCAGAUGAGCCUAGGUCGGAUUAGCUAGUUGGUGGGGUAAUGGCUCACCAAGGCGACGAUCCGUAACUGGUCUGAGAGGAUGAUCAGUCACACUGGAACUGAGACACGGUCCAGACUCCUACGGGAGGCAGCAGUGGGGAAUAUUGGACAAUGGGCGAAAGCCUGAUCCAGCAAGGCCGCGUGUGUGAAGAAGGUCUUCGGAUUGUAAAGCAAUGGAAGUUGGGAGGAAGGGCAGUAAAUUAAUACUUUGCUGUUCGACGUACCGACAGAAUAAGCCCC